GCUAUGUCACGUUGAAACGCUGUUUCUCAUACGAUCACCGAAGUUAAGCAACGUCGAACGUGGUCAAUACCGAGAUGGGUAAUCAUUUGGGAAUACCAGAUUCUGUA